CUAAGCACUGCUGUCUUCUCUGUCUCUGUCUCCAAAAAAACACUUCCAGGCUGGACUUUUUCUGUGUGUAAAUCUGUGUGAAAGCAGGCAAAGAAAUGCUCUCUAGCUCGGAACACACUGCAUUCGACUCUGAGCCGAAGAUCUUCUAGAUGUUGGCUCAUGGUGACUAGACACCGGCUCUUGGAGAUCAUCAUCAUCAUUAUCACCAUGUUUUAGAUGGAACUAGCAAGUUUUUUCACAUGACCGCUACCAACCUCUGAGGGUGAAAACUCAAGCUGUCCUAAACAGAACCUCAAACAACAGAGACCUUGCCUUGUCUGUGACUGGUAAGGAAUAAAACACCUCAGGGUGUGCUGUUAUAGGAAAAUAAUCGACGAAAAAGUGGUGUGAUGUGACCUGAUGUGAAGCAGAGUUACUGUUACCAACCCAAAGUUGAUUAUUUUCCUAAAAAGCAUGUCCUGAAGUGUUUUUGCUAAUAAUUAACAUUUUUACUACAACUUUUUUUUUUUUUUUUUACCACUUGUGAAAUUUAACAAUUUAAUGUUGUGGAAUGCCUGAAAAACAUGUUAGUUCUCUUAGAGCUAUAAACAAUAAACAUUUGUUCCGUAAACAACCGCUCUCUCUUUUUUUUUUCCUUGAAGCCAAAAUGCAGCUUUUCAUGUUACUGGGAAACCAGAAAAUACAAAGUCUUCUCUCCACGAAGACUUUCCCAUGGCAGAAAAUUUACAGGAACAAAUAUAGCUCUGGGACUGCUACAAACCAUCGACACUGGAGACUCCUUCCAAAAAUGUCAUACUCUCAAAAUUGCUGUUAGAGAAAACGAAUCAACACCUUCUGACCAAUCAGAAUGGAGAAUUCAGCAAAACUGUGGCAUGUGGCGCCUUGAAGAACCGCAUGCUGGACACUAACGUGUCUGGUCUGCUCACCAUCCUCAUUUGUCAUCUAUGGGAUAAAGAUAAUUUAACUCAGAACCUCCAAAAACCUUGUGAUUCACGACCACAACUAAUCCGUGCUUGCAACUGUGUCUCCACUUUCAAAUCUUACAAAAUACUGUAACACUAUUAUUCCAGCCUCAUCCCCUUCUCUUCUGCUCAGUCUUUAUUAUCUUUAGAACUCUAUUAUGUUCUUUGCUUUUUGAUGUAUGUACAUAUGUUUAUUUUGGUCUGAAUGUUUUGUCUGUGUUUUAUUGCACCUGGGUCAUAGCUAAAGCAUCUGUGGGUGUGACAAAUAGGAGCUCUGUGAAUAAGAAAAAUAAAACGAUACCUACAGACAAAACAUUCAGACUGAAAUAAACUUGCACCAGAAUAAAGACAAAACCAAGCUGUAUUGCAAAGUCAUUACAUAAAAUAUUUUGAAGACCACACAAUUUUAGCCUAUAUUGAAGAAGUUUAUCGGUAUCAUGUAAUGGCAUUAGACAACACAAAAAGGUACACAUUUAUCCUCAUCAAGAAAUCCAGAUUCUACCAAUAUGCAAAUUAGAAAUGCCUCCAACCAUAUAGAGUCCUCCCCUUUUCCUGCAUAUAUUUUAUGACACAACACUUGCCUAUCAUUAAAGUAUGCUCAUUUUAAUAUAAUGCAUUAAAACCACAAAAAUUUAAGGUCAGACUUAAAAUAAAUCUCCCUUGGAAAGGCUUUAAUCACAAACAAAUACAUUUUAAUAAAGUUUAGGGUCUUGAGAGAAGCUCGUAUUCGGGGUGUGGCCACAAAAGCUGCUUACUCACCG